UACGAAGGGGGCUAGCGUUGUUCGGAAUUACUGGGCGUAAAGCGCGCGCAGGCGGCUAUCCAAGUCAGUGGUGAAAGCCCGGGGCUCAACUCCGGAACUGCCAUUGAAACUGUUUAGCUUGAGGAUGAGAGAGGUGAGUGGAAUUCCCAGUGUAGAGGUGAAAUUCGUAGAUAUUGGGAAGAACACCGGUGGCGAAGGCGGCUCACUGGCCCAUUACUGACGCUCAGGCGCGAUAGCGUGGGGAGCAAACAGG
rnacentral:rRNA from 1 species